CAGUCUUCUUCUCUGCAGUCGACUUUCUCGAACUCCAGUGUUCCUCUCCAGGAAACAUUCUGGCCCGGUUCUGUUUUCUAUAUUCCUUGACGGCUUGCGGCUCCAGAUCCCCCCGAUGUCCCCAUACACCAUCGAGCCUCCCUGGACUCAGCCCUGGCCACCUAUCGUUCAGGUGGGACUGGAACAAAGAUUCAUAAUUUUUGUGGAGAGUAUUUUAAUGGCCACUGGUCGACAAUGGGUUAGUUGUUCUAUGUCCAUGAUCGGAGGUAAAAUUCGUCGAUUUUGAAAUUCCGUUGAUAUAUAAAUAAAAUAAAUAAACUGCAAUAUUUCGUUGAAAUAGCUCUAAAAUAGA